rnacentral:rRNA from 1 species
AACACGGACCAAGGAGUCUAUCAUAUGUGCGAGUCAUUGGGUGAACUAAACCCACAGGCGCAAUGAAAGUGAUUUGGGCAGAUCCUACCCGUUAUGCUCAUUUGAGUAUGGGUCAGGCGCAUGCCCGGGACUCUCAGUCUACCCUUUUGCGGUAGGAGAGUACCUUGAGCAGAUGUGAUAGUACCCGAAAGAUGGUGAACUAUGCCUGGCCAGAACGAAGCCAGAGGAAACUCUGGUGGAGGUUCGUAGCAAUUCUGACGUGCAAAUCGAUUGUCAGAGCUGGGUAUAGGGGCGAAAGACUAAUCGAACCAUCUAGUAGCUGG